GGAAGGGAUAAACGCUGAAAGCAUAUAAGCGUGAAGCCCACUCCAAGAUUAGGUAUCGCAUCCCCUAGAGGGAGAAAGACACCUUGUAGACUACGAGGUUGAUAGGCCAGGUGUGUAAGUGCAGUAAUGCAUUUAGCUGACUGGUACUAAUCUGUCGAGGGGCUUAGCU
rnacentral:rRNA from 1 species